AGAUGUAGGUGAACAUUUCCUGUGCAGACCUGCAGUCCCGGGCAUCGAACACCUGAGCCAGCCGAGGCAGCGGGAGAGGAGGGUGAGGAGAGAGACGGGGGGUCUUGAGUAUCAGCUCCAGAGGAGCUGCUGGUGAGGAGGCAGGGGCCAUGGUUCACUCCAUGGCGCCCUCCUGACCAUUGGCAGCCACACUGAUCCCUUCCUGCCCUGCUCUCUGACAUAUGUAGCACCAUCCGGGCUGCUUCUC
rnacentral:lncRNA from 1 species